rnacentral:rRNA from 1 species
AUGGCCGGGGCGGCGGCGCAGCAGCAGCAGCAGAAGGGUGGUGGUGCGGUGAGGGUCGGCGGCGGAGGGCCGGCGCCGUUCCUGACCAAGACGCACCAGAUGGUGGAGGAGCGCGGGACGGACGAGGUGAUCUCGUGGGGCGAGCAAGGGCGGUCGUUCGUGGUGUGGAAGCCGGUGGAGCUCGCCCGCGACCUCCUGCCGCUCCACUUCAAGCACUGCAACUUCUCCUCCUUCGUCCGCCAGCUCAACACCUACGGUUUUCGGAAGGUGGUGCCGGACCGGUGGGAGUUCGCAAACGAGAACUUCCGGCGAGGCGAGCAAGGCCUCCUCUCCGGCAUCCGUCGCCGCAAGGCCACGGCGACGACGACGACUCCCCAGUCCUCUAAAACCAGCGGAACCGGCGUAAACGUCGCGUUCCCUCCGCCGCUGCCUGCUCUGCGUCCCGCGUCUGCCAGCACGUCCGGCACCGGCAACGACCACAGCUCCUCCUCGGCGUCCUCGCCGACGCGCCCGGAUCUCAGCAGCGAGAACGAGCAGCUCAGGAAGGACAACCACGCGCUGGCAGCGGAGCUGGCCCUGGCGCGGCGGCACUGCGAGGAGCUCCUGGGCUUCCUCUCCCGCUUCCUGGACGUCCGCCAGCUGGACCUGCGCCUGCUGAUGGACGGAGACAUGCAAGGCGCGGCCGGGGCCGGCGGCGCCCGCUCGGCGGACCAAGAGCACUGCUGCGAGAAGAAGGUGAAGCUGUUCGGCGUGAUCCUCAAGGACGCGUCGGCGAGGAAGAGGGGCCGGUGCGACGAGGCGGCGGCCAGCGAGCGGUCGAUGAAGAUGACGAGGAUCGGGGAGCCGUGGGUCGGCGUGCCGUCGUCCUGCCCGGCGCGCUGCGGCGGCGGGAACUGA